AUUUAGUUUUGUUAUUUUCUCCAUCAGAGUUUCCUUCUGGUGCAGUCAUCGGAGGUUGUGUAGGACUGCUGCUGCUGCUGCUCUGCAUCACCGGACUCUUCUUCUGGAAAAGGAACAAUAACGGGUUCAGACCUACAAACACCUCAGAUUCAUCAGAGAAAACUUCAGAUCCAAGUCAACGAAGAAAUGAUGAACUCCAGUGAGCUUCUGAUCACAUCAGUCUGUUAUAUUUUGUUGGCGCACAAACAGUAGAGACAUCCCUGGAAAAACUGAUGUUGCUGACUGAGUGAGGAAAGUAAAAACAAUGGUCGUCCAGCAGACUGUUUCUAUUUUCUGUUGGACUCUGAAAACAUUUCAGUAUAACCCAUCUUUAAUCUCCCUGUAUAUUUAUCCAUGAACCUUGUAGUUAUUUUUAAUCAGUAUUUGUUCUUUGGCUCAUAUAUACAACAUGUUUCUAGGACCACCUUAUUUCAAUAUUGUUAAAAUUAGGAAGAUCCUGUCUCAGAGUGAUGCAGAAAAACAUUCUAUGCAUUUGUUACUUCAAGACUGGAUUCCUGAAAUUCCUUUUUAUUGGCUGUUCAUUUUAAUUUCUUGUAUUAUUAAGCUCACCUUGUUAAACCACGUUAUAUUUGUGUCCUGUUGGAACAUCUUGUCUGCUGUAAAUCCAGACACCAGACAGUCUU